CCAAUAGAUGAUGAAGAACUUGUUGCUUACAUUAUUAAUGGUCUUGAUUCAGAGUUUGAUCCAGUGGUGGAAGCCCUCGUCGCCAAGAAUGCAUCUGUCACAGUUGCAGAGGUCUACUCACAGCUUCUUGGCUUCGAAA
rfam:Oryza barthii chromosome 6, whole genome shotgun sequence.